GCUCGGGUCUCCGGGGCUGAGUUAGGACCCCGCGCGCGCGCAUACCUGCUACUACUGUGAGGGGAACAGCGUGAAUGCCCUUCCUCUCCCGGCCUUUCCCUCCAGGCAGUUACGACAGGCCAUUAGAGGUUAUUUACAUUCAAUAGUUACACCUGCCACACCUGUAAAGUCUUCUAAUUUGCGUGAAAUGUCUUCAAUCCACUCUUCUAUAGAAGCAAAGGAGCAUUCUUUAGCACCCUUGUGGGAUCUCAGUUCCCAGACCAGGGAUCAAACCCAGGCUCCUGGCAGUGAGAGUGAUGAGUCCUAACCACUGGACUGCCAGGGAAUUCCCUGUUUUCUAGGGAAACUAAUAAGGGUGUGUUGGCGAUGGUUUACUUUAUUUAAUGCCUAAAUGUGGACUAUCAGGACAAUAUUAUGACUGAAAUAGAGAGGAGUGACCAUCACCAAGUGAUCCUGGACUUGGAGCUGGAUGCAGGAACUGAUGAGACUUUGGAUCUCCCCUUUUGGGGAGGCAUGUUGAACAGCAGUUGCUGAAGUGAUUUUGAUGAAAUAUGACCUUUGAAGACUGUGGCCACUGACCAAAGAAUCUGAACUACAGUUUCCAACAUUUUACAGGCUACAAAACAUAAGCUGGCCAGCAUUUAUUGCUUGUACUAACAGCUUGAGUCAAGUUUCCUAAGCCUACAGAGAAGACCUCUUACUGCUGCUAAUUUUACUAUCAGCAAAGAAAAGGGAAAUAGGAAACCAUAUGGAAUGGCUGAACGAGAGCAUUUGUGAGAGCAGUAUGAACUCGGAUUAUCCGAAGAGAGGGCAACGUUUUUCUAAAACUAAAAAGGACUCAAUUUGCAUAGAAAUAAAGUGGGGAAAAAAUGUAAUGUAGAAAAAGUUAUAAGCAGAGAUUCUGCUCUGGCCUCUCAGGAUGGCAUUGAUUUACAUAUUAAGGCAGUCACCAGGGAAAUGUUAAAAACCCUCUAGGGAAAUUUCCAAUGUGAUGGAUAGAACUUUAAUAUUAAUAUAGGAUUCAUCAUGAUAAUGUAAGUCAUAGAUCUAAGUCUCCCUUCAUCAAAUGAAUAGUCCCUUUCCAGCCUAUUAUACAGGCAGCACAUGCUUUAAAUAGUGUCAUGUGGGAGACUUGAAGUCUUUCUUUACCUGCAGUUUCUGAAGUUUUGUUCACAGGAAUAGUGACCCACCGGGUCAUCCAUCUUUAAUUACAUCAUCUAGACCAUUUGCAUUUUCCCCUUUUUAUUAAUAUUUAGUGUUCCUUAAAAUAUACUUCCAUCAUACUUUUUUUCACAAAUAGAAAAAGCAUAAUUCAACACAUACUAUUUCAUACAUGCAGUGACUAUGAAGGGAAGAUCUGAUUCUUAAUCUAUUCGUUGAUCAUUAUACAAGGAAAAAAGUGAUUUCUGGGUUGCUAUUUGAUUUAGUUAUCUAGUACAUAAUUAUCAACCAUAUGCAUGUGUAUUGUUCAUCUUACUCAGGGUUUCCUAGUCUUCUAACACUGACACCCCACAAAAUGGUGGCUGAGUCUCUCUAGAAUCCUAUAAGACAAUGACAAUAUUUUUGGAAUGAGAAUGAUUGCAGUGUUGAUACCAAUAUAAUAAAUGCCAGUAAUAAUAAAUGUUAAGAUUCAUCUGCUGCUUUUUUCAGCAGAAAUUCGAAUAUUCAUUAGUGGAGCAUAUAAUCACUUUUUCUUACUUUAGCCCAAAACACACAUGAAAAUAAAUUCAUAAGUACAGACUAUGAAUACAGACAUAAAUUGUGUACACAGACAAGUAGACCCUCAAGUUCUACAAGGAAGAGGGGGCUUUCCUUAAGCCUGGAAUCACUGCACUAUGUCUUUAAAUUCGUGAUGUGCAUUGGUUUCAUUCUAUUCCAUUUCUCCGCUCAUGAAGUAACCAAUGUCAACAUUUGGGGUAUCAUUUCAUGUAUUUAGUUGGUAUCCAUUUUGGGGUGUAAAGGUUCUGAAAAGUCCUGCUGUAAAGAAAAUUAUUUAAUGGGUAGACUCUAGCAUUCCUAACUUUCUUUUGACCUAACUUUCUUUUGAUCUUAUUUUUCAAAUAAGAUCUAUAAACACAUUUGGAAAUGCUGGCCUAGUGGAGGUGUUCAUAAACUGGGCCUCCUCGAUUUUUUUUUUUUUUUUUGGCUGCGUUGGGUCUUCGUUGCUGCACGUGGGCUUUCUCUAGUUGCAUCCAGUGGGGGCUACUCUUCGUUGCACGUGCUUCUCAUUAAGGUGGCUUCUCUUGUGGAGCACAGGCUCUAGGAGCGCGGGCUUCAGUAGCUGUGGCUUGCGGGCUCUAGAGCGCAGGCUCAGUAGUUGUGGUGUGCGGGCUUUGUUGCUCCGUGGCAUGUGGGAUUUUCCCAGGCCAGGGCUCAAACCCGUGUUCCCCCAUUGACAGGCGGAUUCUUAACCACUGCGCCACCAGGGAAGCCCACCUCCUGGAUUUUUUUUUUUUUUUUUGCGGUUCGCGGGCUUCUCACUGCUGUGGCCUCUCCCGUUGUGGAGCACAGCUCCGGACGCGCUGGCUCGGCCAUUGCUCACGGGCCCAGCCGCUCCGCGGCAUGUGGGAUCUUCCCGGACCGGGGCACGAACCCGUGUCUCCUGCAUCAGCAGGCGGACUCUCAACCACUGCGCCACCAGGGAAGCCCCACCUCCUCGAUUUUUAAGCUUUGGUUUUCACUGGGAACUUUGAGAUGAACUCCUAUUCAUCCUUUAAGUUCUGACUCAGAUGUCACUUCCUCCGUGAAGAUUUCUCCACUUGCCCUAGAAUGAAUAUGUAAAUCUUCCCUUCGCCCCCUACCCCCAUAGCAAUUUUUUCAAGUCCAUAUCAGUGUUUAGAUCAUGAGUUAUUUAUUUUUAAUUUCCCCCCUCUAGUCUACAAUUUCCUUUAUUUUAAGGACUGUGUUUUUACUCUCAGUGUCCUACAGAACACCUGGCUCAUUGUAAGAGUUCAACAAAUAACUGCUGAAGGAAUGAAUGAGUGCUAAAAUCUGCCGUGCAGGCAACCGUCUAGCUACUCAUGGAAGCACAAAAUGUCUAUUGAACCAACUCCUUGACAAAUAAAAAGAUAGGAGGAAGAAAAAUAUGAGCAUGAAGGAACUGCUCUGUGAAUUUGGGGUUAAAGCAUCUGUGGAACAAGAAUAAACAAAUCAGCGCCCGAAGAUUGGACCUACUUCAUUAGCAUGUUGCCUAAAAAGUAAGCUCGAAGUCAUGGAUUUUGGUCUAUUUUAUUCACUGCAGUAUCCUCAGGACCAAGAACAGGCCAGGUCAUAUGGGAGGUACUCAAUGAAGAGAUUGAAGCACAGAGAAGUGAAAUCACUUGUCCAAGGUCACACAACUGAUUACCUCCUGGGACUUUUAAAAAAUGCCCCAAUUAAAGGAAAGCUCCAAGGGUCUAGCAUUUAUCAUCCCAGGACAACUGAGAAGAAGAAAGAGAAGGAAAGAAAAGAAAAGAAAAGAACAACAACCUUCAAAUAAUA